rnacentral:lncRNA from 1 species
GGCCUCCUUCUUACAAAGGUUCCUCCUUCUGGCACAAGCACCACUGGAUAGCCUGAGUGACCGUCGGGACAGCGGGGCCAUCUGCUGCUGAAACAGCGGAGCUGAAAAAGGAUACGCAUCUAGCCUCUACGCUGCAUGAAAAGCUCACUAGACGGUGAAUCCGGAGGGAUCCGCAGCCCAAGGUCGCGCCCGAGCCCCACAUCCUGGAAUCUUCUACAUUCACAAUCUGACUUCUCUUGUCACAACCUCCAGUCUCCUGGUCCCACAGUCUGGGGUCUCACAGCUUGCCUGAGGUGUCCAGCCGCCGCGCCGGCGGAUGUACUGCAUCCGAGAUGGGCAUUUUCUCUCCCAAGCUCCACACAAGCAAGAAUUUUGUCGUUUUUUUUUUUUUUUUUUCCGUAGCUGAAAUGGAUCGGCACAUUUCUGUGUCAUUCUUACGAAACAGAUACAACUUCCUGGUUCCACCUCCUGUAAAAUCGUGGCUGUUGAAUGGCUUAGAGUUCCGAAGAUGUGCGAGCACACGAUACCCACCCAGGCCACCAGUUCUGUUCCUAGGAGUGUGGAUGGUACCUAAUCCUUUCACAGCCUUCUGGCUGACAUUUUCUACACAGUGAAUGGGAGUUGCUUUUUUUUUCCAUGCUGCUUUUUCUACGUCUGAGUUUCUUGGACACUUUCCAGCUGCACACCAAAACAGCUUCCUUGUUUGUCUAGACCGUCGGUAAUUGACUCAAGCCGUCCCCCUUGGAAGCCAUGCACCGGACUUUCCUUGCAUUGUGUAUAAGAGUGCUUGCGUAGAUUCCUAGAAGUGGAUGAACCAGCCAAGCAGCUAUGUGCCUGGGGCGAUGUUGAUAGCUGUUGGCCGGCUGCCAUCUUGGAAGCUGGAUCGAUUGCUCAGCUCUCUCUGCUAGAGCGAGAGUGUGUGAAUAGGCCUUCUGCGCCACAGUAGACAGCCUGUCAGUCAGGCUGACAGCUGACCAAUGGGAGUUCACUAUUGUUUCCUUGUGGCUUGUGAGAUGGCUCGUAUUUUCAAUUUCUCUUGCAAUAACUUUUCUGCUUCAUACACACACACACACACACACACACACACACACACACACACACCAGCAGAAAGGUGGUGUGUUUAAUCCCAACACUCAGGAGGCAGAGGUCAGGUGGAUUUCUGUAAAUUCCAGGGCAGCCUGAUCUACAGAGUAAGUUCCAGGGCUACACAGAAACCAUGUCUUGAAAAAACCUAAAUAAAUAAACCCAAAGAAGAAGAAGGGGGGAGGAUGUCUCUGUGAGUUCAAGGCCAGCCAGAAGUUCACUGUGAGAUCCUGUCUCUAAAAAAUAAAAACAAUAAGUUAAAGAAAGAAGAGAACAAUUAAUUUACUCCGGAAUGAAUAGUUUCACCCAUGGGUAUUUUUGUACAUUAUCAGGUACAGAGACCAAGGUCACCUCAUGAGCUGAAGGACACCAGUACCUGAAACCCCAUAUACUUUGAAGCUAAGAGUCAGUAGUAGGUCAUCUCUCUACUCAUCAAAUGUUGUAAAUGUCUGUCAUGUUUGUGAAGUUCACUGUUAGGUCAGGGAUACACACAUGCAUGAGACAUGAAGGGAGGAGAGUCCACCAGGGCUGAGUGACCAUCUGCUUGCACCUCAGAGCUUGGUCUGAACAGGCCAGCAGAGGGGACCAACGUGCAGCUGUGGUUCCCAGCCCAGGCACUGGGGACAGAAAACCUCUAAAAGCAACCUCAAAAGGGAGGAUGCUGUUUGUGGAUUUCUGUGCCCCUGUCGCUUGUCCCUUUGAACUCAGUUCCCUAGAGAAGUCUUCAGAGGUCAGAGUUGUUCCAGAGCACCUGGCCGGCCUGGGUAACCAUAGAGACUGGUAGAGAGGUAGAUUUCAUCCAAGGGUUCUGGUUCCUUGUCAAAAACAAAAACAAAAAAAACAAGAAACAGCUCAGUGCAGGGCUGGCUGGCAUGCGCAGCCAAUCAUGUGGGUGACUGUAGGCUGGC